GGGUUUGGGGUCAUAGGGUUUCUAGGUGGAGGUGAGGGGGGGGCGGGAUGGGGAUUAUAUAGAGAUGCAAGUUUAGGAAAUAAGGGGAAGAGAUGGGUUGGAGAGGAGGGGGUUUGCAGGGGUUGGAUUCACCUUCAGUUCAUUUAAUUCAUGAUGAAAAUUGGAGCUCACAUCUUUGAAUGCAAAAAAAUCAAAUCACGUGAACGUAAGUUUGGGACGUUCAUGUCCUUUAACUUUGCUGUCAGUGAAUGGGAUCUCGUCUAACCUGACUCAUAACAGCUCGUUAUGUUUUAUUAUCUUCCCUCUGGUGCUUUUUAACCAUGAUAAUAAAUCCAUACUUAGAAAAUUAUAAAUAAUAAGAACCAGCCAAGAGUUGAGCCAAGGAAAAAUAUUAUGGCCUCAUUAUACAACAAGUGAAGCCUUCAAAAUAUUGCUCUUAAGUAGCACAACAAAGCGCUUAACUACGGAGAAUUAACAUUUUCUGCUGUUUUUAUAUUAAGCUGUUAACAGAGUUUGAAAAUUAGAGUCGAGCUGAAUCCAUGCGAGGUCAACAUCGGUGUUAAUUUGAAAUGAAAACUAUAACCAAAAACAUUUGAAGACGACAAAAACAAGACUAAAGCUAAAUUAAAAGUCACCUUUGAAAAUGAGAGUUAGGACAAAACACGGACAUUUUUCAUCAGUGAAUUAAAAACUAAAUAGUAUUGUGAAAAAUAGACAGAUGUUUUAAUUCAACAACCUUAUGUCUCUGUCAGUAACGUUACCUGCUCUCAGAGGAAACUGAACUUUUUAUGGCUCUCAAAACAGCUGAGACAAACCACAGAACAUUUCUAAGCUUGUUCCUGAGUGUUUCUAUCAGGAGUGAGCGAGUUAAGCUCCAGCAUUAAUGUCACAGUAUUGAUGUUACUGUGACGACACAGCGUCUCCUCUCAGACUGAACCCAGACAGAGUGUUUCAGUGAGUGUGAAUGAGUCACAGGCUCUGCAGUGAACAGCACAGUCAGCUGCAGUGAUGCCAGGUGAGCAGGAACAGCUGCACUACAUCACAUCACAGAGAGCGGCUCUGUGGAUGUGGACACCUUUGCGAGAAAUACCUGUAACCGUGGUAACUACAGAAAGAUGGCGACAGCCGAAGCCUCAAAGUACCGAGCGGGCGUAACAACGUAGAACUAACAAAAAUCUAAUGACUCAAAACCAGUUAACGCUGGUCGAUAAAAUGUUCCGUCGGCUUUAGACGCGUUUUAAUUGUUGAAAAUGUUUCAACUUUGCACAUAUCCCACAGCUGUUUUAGUUCGCCUCAUGAAAACAGGAGGAAAAUAAGAGAAAGAGCCAGAGUUUUGAGCAUGAAUUUAGUUGAAUAAGUGCUGUUAGCUACAGCUGGUGACUUUCCUGUCACAUUCUUUGUCUGUUUGUGGAUAAAAACACAGUCUGCAGCAACAACCCAGCGCUCAGAUUCUCCCAGAUUUUGCUUCUCAUUCAUUCUGAAAGAAAAAAAAAAAAAAUGCUCUUCCUGAAUUAACUGAAUUGAAUGUGAAUGGAGCCCCAGCACUAUUCAGGAGCAAACUAGGGUGACAAAGAAGGUUGUUGAUGAAUGAUUGGAUGAAGAAGGAAAGUAGUCCGAGCGGAGUGAGACUACAGCAGGGAGGGAGGGGGAGGAGGUGGCGGCAGCGGCGUGACGCACAGCAGCGUGAAUGAAAUUCACCAUCAUCCAUCAGACAGCUUUGUAACAUUUUCCACAGGCGCCACCGGUCGGCCCCAGGAUCAUAUACCUCGAACCAGGACGAGCCCCUGACGGCUCGGAGGGACACUAUUUUCUCAUUUGAAAUGUUUGGGAAACAUUUCAGCAUGUUUUACAUACACACACACACACACACACACACACACACACACACCUACAAUUACCUCGGUGGUCCAAAGACAGGCAUUAUGCUUCACAUCUUUUAAGCUACAUCAAACGAAGAAACAGUGAAAACUAAAGCUAAGAUAGAUCCGUUUACUUUUUGAAAGCUUACUAAAGUACAUCUAUGUAAAAUUCCUGUACAUCGCUAUAACGCUCAGUUUGUUAUUUGUUGCUCAUGUGAUUCUUUGAUGCAGAAAUAAGGCAAAACAUUUAAAAAAAACUUUUAAAGUGAAAGAGCCAUUCACAGGAAGUUAAACUUGGUUGAAUAACUAUGACAAAUCAGUGACUUUUAUCAGGAUUUUUAUUGAGUGUUUGGUUGUGUUCGUCUUUUUGGGGCUCUGGUUAAUAAUAAAUGGGAAGUGUUUGUUGCUUAAAAAACAAUAAAAGCUUUUCUCGCAGCACUAUAUUAAAAAAAAAAAAACCUUUUUAACAUUUUAGUAAAACUAAAUUAAUCAUGAAAAUGUACAAUCACCCCUACAAGUUUUGACAAAGUCAAACUCGUGAUAAUGUUAAUUAUCACAUUAAUAUUUAUUACAAUUUGAUCUCUAUGCACAAUUAAGUUUGCACAUCAUGUUACUUAGACCUAGAUGUUGUUGUUGUUGCCCCUAAAGUAUUUGGCCUAAAAUUGUUUUUGUUUUUUUUUCCACCUAAAAGGUGAUCCUAAAAAGACCUUACGUGUCCCUGCUUUUUGCUCAUUUUCCUUAAUGUUUGUCAGUCGAAGCAUUAUAUGAUAUUCAGUAGUUUACUUAAGCUUUGUAAGAGCCUUCUAAUUGACAUGAUUUCAUAAGUGAAUACCUCCCUAACGAGUUUUGAGAUUGAGAGCUUUGUGAGUGAUGAGAUAAUUUGAUUAAAAACAAAAAAGAAAUCACUUUAAUAAAGAUUUAAAAGAGUGAAUCCAGCGAAGACGUAGAUUCAAAUCCUCUCAGUCUGGACUUCACUAUAAAUAUUGACAUUAAAUGUCCCAUUUUAAAUGUGGAAAAACUGCUUAUUUACGCGGAGCAGGCCUGGCAGCGUGUGUUCAUUGGCCUCUGAACAUUGCAAACAGAUUUGCAGACUCAGUAGUUAGUUUCUCCAGUGUUGUGGACGGGAAAAAAAAGAUUUAAAAGAAGGAACUGAGAGCGAGAGAGAGCUGAAGAGAGACUGGACUGAAACUCCUCCAAACUCACUGUUGGUUAUAAGCUAUAUAUACAAUUCUAACGCCAAACCUUUGGUGCUUUUUUGGAAAUAUUUACCUCAUUUGCCAGUUGCCAACACCAUGCUGUGGUCUGGGUUUGGUAAAUAAGCAGUGUUGAGCUGUUUCAGAGGUUUGAUCUAUCCUCAGCAGUGGAAGUGGUUUUGGUGCAUUUUGUCUGAGGCGGACCCUUGUACAGUACUGUAAUAUGUGUGCUUUGAAGCCAUGUCAGCGCAUUGUAACGUACUGUGUUAUGCCUUUUUUUGUUUUGUUUGUUUUCUGUUUUUUGGUUUUAUCGGGAGGGAAGUUGAUAAUUGUUUUUCUACAUUAAUAUUUCUUUAACAGAUGUUAAAUAUGUCAGAAGAAGAAACAGUCAUUUUAUAAAAAAAAAAAAAAAAAAUCACGUCAUCGUAAAACCGCAUCUUUUAUGUAUAAAAAGACUAAAGGCAUGAUUUUAACUUUUUCUGAGAACUUAGAUGUCGUACUCAAUGAAUUAAUUGAAUUUUAAAAAUGAGUGAUUUCAAAGAUUUCUUUCUCCAAAUAAAAAGUCUUCUAUGGCUCCAGGCCAGCUGUU